GUUCUACUGAAGGUCCAACAUUGAGUUCUUUCUUUUCUCACACCUCUUUUGCAUACAGAGCAUGGACAUCUAUCGUCUGUAUGAACUUAACACUGUCUCUUCAAACAUUAUGAGGAUUGAUGGAGUCCACCACGGGAAACAUGGAAAGAAAGGCUCUGUAGUUUUCUGGCUUCAGGUCCAGCAAGCUCGUG